ensembl:lncRNA
AGCUGGGCUUGUUCAGCCUGUAGAAGAGAAGGCUGCGAGGAGAUCUCAUUGUGGCCUUCCAGUACCUAAACAGAGCAUAUAAGCAAGAAGGGGGACCACCUUUUUACACAGUCUGAUAGUGAUGGGACAAUGGGGAAUGGCUUUGAACUAAAAUAAGAGGUGCAGGAGAGGGCUGACAAAAAACUCCUCUUCCUGUGCCUCUGUGCAAUGUCCUGGGCAGUUCUAUUGAAUGUUAUCAUCUCUGCUGGGCAUGCUCCUGUCAGUCUUACACAUGGAUACUCUUUUUACCUUUGUCUUAGCUCUACCAAACCUACGAAGCUGUAUUUGCAAGGAAAAUUGAAGAGUCUGAGAAAUGUGAAGCAACACAUCAUGCUUUUGAGAUAACUGGGCACCAACCACCUGAAGGUAGAUUUCUUUCCAUGAAGAACUACAGAAAUCAUGAUUUCGUCCCAGUGUGGGAGACGUUUGAAAAUGCAUACUUUGAAAUGUAUGAGUAUUGGUCAGAAAAGCCACUCCAUCCGUUGCUAUAAUCACAUCACUAGACUUGGAACAAGAUGAACUCACUUUCAUAAUGGUUGC